rnacentral:lncRNA from 1 species
AAGCACAGCCCUUAAGAUCGCCUUUCAAAACAAUGGAAGCGUUUUGAGUCAUUGCUGUGCAAAAUUAAAAUUUCUAUAAGGUUUCAUAUUAGGGUUUUCCUAUUAUGGUUUCUUUUCACCACUUGUUUUUUUAUUUAUUUAUGAGGCAUAGACCCUUUUAUCAUUGAAUCUGAUUUUUUAUCAUGUUAAAGUCUUUGGUUAAUUGCUUCUUGUAAGUAUUGACCUAUUGAUUUAUCUGAUUCAAAGUUCAUUUUCAUUGGUGAUUUUUUUAAUAAUGUCUCAUCAACCAAGUGGUAA